UGGGGAAUUUUGCGCAAUGGGGGAAACCCUGACGCAGCAACGCCGCGUGAGUGAUGAAGGCCUUCGGGUCGUAAAGCUCUGUCAGAGGGGAAGAAAUGCAGGGGUGCUAAUAUCAUCUUUGCUUGACGGUACCCUCAAAGGAAGCACCGGCUAACUCCGUGCCAGCAGCCGCGGUAAUACGGAGGGUGCGAGCGUUGUUCGGAAUUAUUGGGCGUAAAGCGCGUGUAGGCGGUUUGAUAAGUCUGAUGUGAAAGCC
rnacentral:rRNA from 1 species